GUGUAUUUGGAUUUGAAGGAUAUUUUCUGGUGGAGAGUAAAGGCAGAGCAUCAGAAGCCAGCAGGAUUGUUACAACCAUUGCCGAUACCCGAGUGGAAGUGGGAUAAGCUAGGCAUGGAUUUUAUCACAGGAUUGCCCAGGACUCGUUCAGGCUAUGACUCGAUUUGGGUUGUAGUUGAUCGAUUGACGAAAGUAGCUCAUUUCAUCCCGGUAAAGACCACUUACACCAGUGCUAAGUUGGCAAAGAUAUACAUGACCAGGAUCGUAUGUCUGCAUGGAGUUCCAAGGAGUAUCGUAUCAGAUAGAGGAACCCAGUUUACCUCAAAGUUCUGGAAGCAGUUGCAUGAAACUUUGGGAACCAGGCUAGAAUUCAGUACAACUUUUCAUCCACAGACAGAUGGACAGAUCGAGAGAGUCAAUCAGAUUUUGGAGGAUAUGCUGCGAGCUUGUGCGCUAGAUUACGGAUCUAGUUGGGACGAUAAUUUGCCAUAUGCAGAGUUCUCUUACAACAAAAGUUACCAAACCAGUUUAAAGAUGGCCCCUUUCGAAGCAUUGUACGGAAGGAGGUGCAGGACACCGCUGUCAUGGGACGAAGUUGGAGACCGCCAGUUGUUUGGACCUAACUUGAUUAAAGAGUCUGAACAGAAGGUGAAGUUGAUUCGCAAUAGGCUCAAAGUAGCCCAGUCCAGACAGAAGAGUUAUGCGGAUUCUAAACGCAAGGAGACAGUUUAUGAAGUUGGAGAUAGAGCUUAUCUUCGAGUAUCUCCACUUCGGGGAACAAAGCGUUUUGAAGUUAAAGGGAAGUUAGCACCACGAUUUGUAGGACAAUAUCGAGUUUUGGAGCGUAUGGGAGAAGUGGCCUACAAGUUGGAAUUGCCCGAAGGAUUGUCAGGAGUACAUGAUGUGUUCCACGUUUCUCAA
rnacentral:rRNA from 1 species